rnacentral:rRNA from 1 species
CCUGGUGGCGAGCGGCGGACGGGUGAGUAAUGCAUAGAAAUCUGCCCGGUAGUGGGGAUAACUUGGGGAAACCCAGGCUAAUACCGCAUACGUCCUACGGGAGAAAGCAGGGGAUCCUCGGACCUUGCGCUAUCGGAUGAGUCUAUGUCGGAUUAGCUUGUUGGUGAGGUAAUGGCUCACCAAGGCGACGAUCCGUAGCUGGUCUGAGAGGAUGAUCAGCCACAUCGGGACUGAGACACGGCCCGAACUCCUACGGGAGGCAGCAGUGGGGAAUAUUGGACAAUGGGCGAAAGCCUGAUCCAGCCAUGCCGCGUGUGUGAAGAAGGCCUUCGGGUUGUAAAGCACUUUCAGUGGGGAAGAAAGCCUUGGGGCUAAUACCCUCGAGGAAGGACAUCACCCACAGAAGAAGCACCGGCUAACUCCGUGCCAGCAGCCGCGGUAAUACGGAGGGUGCGAGCGUUAAUCGGAAUUACUGGGCGUAAAGCGCGCGUAGGCGGUCUGAUAAGCCGGUUGUGAAAGCCCCGGGCUCAACCUGGGAACGGCAUCCGGAACUGUCAGGCUAGAGUGCAGGAGAGGAAGGUAGAAUUCCCGGUGUAGCGGUGAAAUGCGUAGAGAUCGGGAGGAAUACCAGUGGCGAAGGCGGCCUUCUGGACUGACACUGACGCUGAGGUGCGAAAGCGUGGGUAGCAAACAGGAUUAGAUACCCUGGUAGUCCACGCCGUAAACGAUGUCGACUAGCCGUUGGGCUCCUUGAGAGCUUUGUGGCGCAGUUAACGCGAUAAGUCGACCGCCUGGGGAGU